GCGGUUGCAUCGCGCGUCAUCCACCCACGCACAAAGUUUUUGGAGGACAACCUCCAAAAACACAGGUGUAAACAAUGUAAAAGUACACGAAGAACUGGACACCAUUUGGCAGAGUAGAACUAUGAUCCAGGAUACAGAGUGCUCUAGUAUUGUAACUGUUAGUCUACCUUAGCUUACAGAGAAGGCUGAGUGUACUAGCUGAACAAGCUGAGCUCUGUGUGAAGAUAGCUACCAUAAUUAUGUUCAAAUGAAGAGGGUGUAGGAGUGCCCGAUCAUGUCACGUCAGGCAUCGAUCAUUGCUGGCUGGGAGGAUUGUGUGGGACACGAUCACCACAAUAUUAAAUUAAUAGACUGAUGGAGACAAGAGUCAAGAUAAAAUUGACAUUGAUGUGUUAUUAUCAUGUGUCAGUAC